rnacentral:rRNA from 1 species
CUUGGCUCAGGACGAACGCUGGCGGCGUGCCUAAUACAUGCAAGUCGAGCGCGGGAAGCAAGCUGAUCCUCUUCGGAGGUGACGCUUGUGGAACGAGCGGCGGACGGGUGAGUAACACGUGGGCAACCUGCCUGUAAGACUGGGAUAACCCCGGGAAACCGGGGCUAAUACCGGAUAAUACUUUUCAUCACCUGAUGGGAAGUUGAAAGGUGGCUUUUAGCUACCACUUACAGAUGGGCCCGCGGCGCAUUAGCUAGUUGGUGAGGUAACGGCUCACCAAGGCAACGAUGCGUAGCCGACCUGAGAGGGUGAUCGGCCACACUGGGACUGAGACACGGCCCAGACUCCUACGGGAGGCAGCAGUAGGGAAUCUUCCGCAAUGGACGAAAGUCUGACGGAGCAACGCCGCGUGAGUGAUGAAGGUUUUCGGAUCGUAAAGCUCUGUUGUUAGGGAAGAACAAGUGCCGUUCGAAUAGGGCGGCACCUUGACGGUACCUAACCAGAAAGCCCCGGCUAACUACGUGCCAGCAGCCGCGGUAAUACGUAGGGGGCAAGCGUUGUCCGGAAUUAUUGGGCGUAAAGCGCGCGCAGGCGGUCCUUUAAGUCUGAUGUGAAAGCCCACGGCUCAACCGUGGAGGGUCAUUGGAAACUGGAGGACUUGAGUACAGAAGAGGAGAGUGGAAUUCCACGUGUAGCGGUGAAAUGCGUAGAGAUGUGGAGGAACACCAGUGGCGAAGGCGACUCUCUGGUCUGUAACUGACGCUGAGGCGCGAAAGCGUGGGGAGCGAACAGGAUUAGAUACCCUGGUAGUCCACGCCGUAAACGAUGAGUGCUAGGUGUUAGGGGGUUUCCGCCCCUUAGUGCUGAAGUUAACGCAUUAAGCACUCCGCCUGGGGAGUACGGCCGCAAGGCUGAAACUCAAAAGAAUUGACGGGGGCCCGCACAAGCGGUGGAGCAUGUGGUUUAAUUCGACGCAACGCGAAGAACCUUACCAGGUCUUGACAUCCUCUGCAAUCGGUAGAGAUACCGAGUUCCCUUCGGGGACAGAGUGACAGGUGGUGCAUGGUUGUCGUCAGCUCGUGUCGUGAGAUGUUGGGUUAAGUCCCGCAACAG